rnacentral:rRNA from 1 species
UUUGGUGGAACCGUCGGGGGGUCCGGCACAACCCUGUGGGGAUUGACGCCCGUCUGACAUGGUGCAACGACAUGGGGGGUGGAGCGCACGUGGAAGGCCA